AGUGAACGCUGGCGGUAGGCCUAACACAUGCAAGUCGAACGGCAGCACAGUAAGAGCUUGCUCUUACGGGUGGCGAGUGGCGGACGGGUGAGGAAUACAUCGGAAUCUACUUUUUCGUGGGGGAUAACGUAGGGAAACUUACGCUAAUACCGCAUACGACCUACGGGUGAAAGCAGGGGAUCUUCGGACCUUGCGCGAUUGAAUGAGCCGAUGUCGGAUUAGCUAGUUGGCGGGGUAAAGGCCCACCAAGGCGACGACCCGUAGCUGGUCUGAGAGGAUGAUCAGCCACACUGGAACUGAGACACGGUCCAGACUCCUACGGGAGGCAGCAGUGGGGAAUAUUGGACAAUGGGCGCAAGCCUGAUCCAGCCAUACCGCGUGGGUGAAGAAGGCCUUCGGGUUGUAAAGCCCUUUUGUUGGGAAAGAAAAGCAGCAGGUUAAUACCCCGCUGUCCUGACGGUACCCAAAGAAUAAGCACCGGCUAACUUCGUG
rnacentral:rRNA from 1 species